UGGGGAAUUUUCUGCAAUGGGCGAAAGCCUGACAGAGCAAUACCGCGUGAGGGAUGAAGGCCUGUGGGUCGUAAACCUCUUUUUUCAAGGAGGAAGUUCUGACGUGUACUUGAAGAAUAAGCAUCGGCUAACUCCGUGCCAGCAGCCGCGGUAAGACGGAGGAUGCAAGUGUUAUCCGGAAUUACUGGGCGUAAAGCGUCUGUAGGUGGUUUAGUAAGUCGAUUGUUAAAGCUUGAGGCUUAACUUCAAAACAGCAAUGGAAACUGCUAGACUUGAGUAUGGUAGAGGUAAAAGGAAUUUCCAGUGGAGCGGUGAAAUGCGUAGAUAUUGGAAAGAACACCGAUGGCGAA
rnacentral:rRNA from 1 species